rnacentral:rRNA from 1 species
GAUGAACGCUGGCGGCGUGCUUAACACAUGCAAGUCGAACGAAGCAUUUAGGACAGAUUACUUCGGUUUGAAGUUCUUUAUGACUGAGUGGCGGACGGGUGAGUAACGCGUGGGUAACCUGCCUUGUACUGGGGGAUAGCAGCUGGAAACGGCUGGUAAUACCGCAUAAGCGCACAAUGUUGCAUGACGUGGUGUGAAAAACUCCGGUGGUAUAAGAUGGACCCGCGUCUGAUUAGCUAGUUGGUGAGAUAACAGCCCACCAAGGCGACGAUCAGUAGCCGACCUGAGAGGGUGACCGGCAACAUUGGGACUGAGACACGGCCCAGACUCCUACGGGAGGCAGCAGUGGGGAAUAUUGCACAAUGGAGGAAACUCUGAUGCAGCGACGCCGCGUGAGUGAAGAAGUAAUUCGUUAUGUAAAGCUCUAUCAGCAGGGAAGAUAGUGACGGUACCUGACUAAGAAGCUCCGGCUAAAUACGUG